rnacentral:tRNA from 1 species
GGGAGUAGCUAGCGGCCUGGUGGUGCUCCUGGACUUCAAAUCCAGUGGUGGGUGCGCUCCAUCCACGGUGGGUUCGAUUCCCAUCUACUCCCGCCA